rnacentral:rRNA from 1 species
GAUGAACGCUGGCGGCGUGCCUAAUACAUGCAAGUCGAGCGAAUGGAUUAAGAGCUUGCUCUUAUGAAGUUAGCGGCGGACGGGUGAGUAACACGUGGGUAACCUGCCCAUAAGACUGGGAUAACUCCGGGAAACCGGGGCUAAUACCGGAUAACAUUUUGAACCGCAUGGUUCGAGAUUGAAAGGCGGCUUCGGCUGUCACUUAUGGAUGGACCCGCGUCGCAUUAGCUAGUUGGUGAGGUAACGGCUCACCAAGGCAACGAUGCGUAGCCGACCUGAGAGGGUGAUCGGCAACACUGGGACUGCGACACGGCCCAGACUCCUACGGGAGGCAGCAGUAGGGAAUCUUCCGCAAUGGACGAAAGUCUGACGGAGCAACGCGGCGUGAGUGAUGAAGGCUUUCGGGUCGUAAAACUCUGUUGUUAGGGAAGAACAAGUGCUAGUUGAAUAAGCUGGCACCUUGACGGUACCUAACCAGAAAGCCACGGCUAACUACGUGCCAGCCGCCGCAGUAA